AGGGCGCCGGAGAGCCUGGAGCAGGGCGCCAGGAGGCCGGAGCAGGAGGAGAAGGAGUAGGAGGAAGUGGUCACUAGCGCGGCGGCCGCCGGCCCGCAAUGGUGCUACCCUGGUUGCUGCUCGAGACUGCGCGCAGGGCGGUCCUCGGGUCCGCGGAGGCUGCGCUCUGCGCACCAACUUUUAUCUGUGGAUGCAGCUACAGGGACCCAGCAUUAACACAGCUUACCCCCAGCCCCACCUACCUAUUUUAACUGUUGCCAUGAAAAUGACAGAUGAAAAUAGAAAAGUGUGGCUGGUCUGAAGGUUUGACGUCAAUAAAGGGAAACUGCCACAAUUUUUAUACUGCUAUUUCUAAAGAUGUCACUUAUAAGGAACUUAAAAACCUGUUGAAUUCUAAAAAUAUUAUGUUAAUUGAUGUUAGAGAGAUAUGGGAAAUUCUGGAGUAUCAAAAAAUCCCUGAGUCUAUCAAUGUACCAUUGGAUGAAGUAGGUGAAGCUCUACAGAUGAAUCCAAGAGACUUCAAAGAGAAGUACAAUGAAGUAAAACCAUCCAAAUCUGACAGCUAGUGUUUUCUUAUUUAGCCGGAGUGAGAAGCAAGAAGGCCCUGGACACAGCAAUAUCUCUGGGCUUUCACAGUUCUGGAGGUCAGAAGUCCUAAAUGUCAUCCUUUCCUUUCACUGGUGUGCCACAGCAAGAUGGUGGUGCAGUUUUUCAAGAAGAGGAAGUUUGUCAUUGAUGGUAUCUUCAAAGCUGAACUGAAUGAAGUUCUCAUUCAGGAGCUGGCUGAAGAUAGCUACUCUGGAGUUGAGGUCUGAGUUACACCAGCUAGGACAGAAAUCUUUACCUUAGCCACCAGAACACAGAAUGUUCUUGGUGAGAAGGGCUGGCAUAUUUGGGAAUUGACUGCUGUAGUUCAGAAGAGGUUUGGCUUUUCAGAGGGUAAAGUAGAGCUUUAUGCUGAAAAGGUGUCUACAAGAGAUAUGUGCCAUUGUCCAGGCAGAGUCUCUGUGUUACAAACCCCUAGGAGGGCUUGCUGUGCAGAAGGCCUGCUAUGGUGUGCUGCGGUUCAUCAUGGAGUGUGGGACUAAAGGCUUCAAGGUCAUUGUGUCCAGGAAACUCUGAGGACAGAGGGCUAAAUCCAUGAAGUUUGUGAAUGGCCUGAUGAUCCACAGCUGGGACCCUGUUAAUACUAUGUUGACACCGCUGUGCACCAUGUGCUGCUCCAACAGGCUGUGCUGGGCAUCAAGGUGAAGGUCAUGCUUCCCUGGGAACCAGCUGGUAAGAUUAGCCCUAGGAAGUCCCUGCCCGACCAGGGGCAGGGGACCCAUCUUUGGGUUCGUGGAACCCAAAGAUGAGAUACUCUCCACCACUCCCAUCUCAGAAGAGAAGGGUAGGAAGCCAGAGCCACCUGCCAUGUCCCAGCCAGUCCCCACAGCAUAACAGGGUCUACUUAGCAGCUGUGUCUGGAGUCUGGAUGUUGUUCUGUAAAGAACUUUAAUAAAAUCUUGUACAAAGAAAAAAGUCCUAAAGUCGUAGAUGCAUCUCACUAUGCUAAAAUUAAGGUGUCAGCAGGGCUGUAUUCCUCUCUAAAGAAUCUAGAGGAUAAUCUGUAUUCCUGCCUUUUCCAGUUUCUAGAGGUUCCCACAUUUCUUGGCUCAUGGCUCCCUUAAUCUUCAAAACCAGCCAUGGCCAGUUGAGUCUUUCUCAUGUUGUGUCACUCUAAAUUGUACCUUCUUCUUCCACAUUUAAAGUACCCUUGUGAUUACUACCCUGGGCCUACCUGGAUAAUCUGGGAUAAUUUUCUUAUUUUAAAUUCAGCUCACUAGCAACCUAAAUUCCAUCCGCAACCUUAAUUCCUCCCUGCCAUGUAACAUAACAUAUUCACAGGUUCUGGGGAUUCAGUUGAGGACAUCUUUGGAGACUAUUAUUUUGACUGCUACAGUGUCUUCAGAUUGUUAAUCAGCUCUGGCCCACAGACUUAAGUAUCUAGGCUCUUCAGCAAGUAUGUUCUUAGGGUACAAGUUGAUGUAUCAGAUUGUUAUAACUUGAUAGCACUAACUUCAACCAACUUCUAUUGAUCUAAUUUUGUACUUAUGAAGCAAUCUUUCAAUAAUAAUUUGGUUUCCCACAUUAAUUUGCCUAUGGAAAUAUAAUGCUAUGAGCAGUAAAAAAGUAUUUAAUCAAUUGGCAAUUAUCUUUAUAAAUCAAUUAAUUUGUAUUGUUUUUUCUUUUUUUUUAACUGUAAUCUCAUGACAGAUUAUAUAUUAGGUUUUUUGCAGGUUUUUUUUUUUCACAGAUGGGGGUCUCACUAUGUUGCCCAGGCUGGUCUCAAACUCCUGGGUUCAAGUGAUCCUCCUGUCUCAGCCUCCAAAAGUGUUGGGAUUUACGGGUAUGAGCCACUGCACCUGGUUGGGUUUUUAAUGUAUGAGUUUCUAUGAGCUUGAUCAAUGUAUUUACACCCAAGAGAUAGACUAGACUUAGUAAUCUGGCAGCUCAUGUUUCUGAGUCUGCAAAAAUAAAGACCAGAUCUGCAAACUCUGGGGAAGUCUAUCUGUCUAGUGGUCUUCUGAAAUGAUUGAUUUUGAGGUACUUUUCAAACUAAAGCUCAGAAUGGAUCUCACUUUCUGGCUAUAAACUGGAUACUCCCCUAACUUCUUUCAUUAUGUUAUUUAUCCCUGCAGCAUUGGCCAAUUCUCUUCUUUGUUUUUAUUCAUUUUUUUCACAUCUACAUACUAUAAUUGAACUUUUUUGGUUGCAAAGUUACUUCCAUAAAUUUACAGUUCAUUAAAAGAAGAAAUGUGGAUUGGCGCUAGAAUUGUAACUAGAAAACUGUCUGGAAUUGAGACAUACUUCUUUUUGUGUGUUUCUUGUUUUCCUGUUCCAACUGGCCUAUACUAUUUCCCCAUUCUGAGUAUUUUCUGUCUGCUUCAUAGUCUCUGCAUUGUAACUUUAGUUUGUAUGCUCUUAGUUUUUCUCUUUAACAUGAACUUUCAGCUUUAAUUCCAUUCUACUUCAUUCUCUCCUUAUUUCCUUUGUUUAUAUAGAUAGAGGUUUCACACCAAAAAAAAAAAGUGUCUAGGGCCCCACAAAACUAGGGACAGCCCUGAUGAGAACAACCAUAAUUGGCUUAGGAUGGUUGGUGGUCCUUAAUCUUGACUGUGCUUUAGACUUACUUGAGGGUGCUUCUAAAACAAUCAUCCUUUUCAGACUUGACUUCCAGACCAAAUUUCUUCUAUAGAAUAAAUACACAUACAAACAUAUUUAUAUGCCUGUGUACUUAUUUAUAUCUAAGCAAGAAGAAAUAAGUGGAAGAAUAUACAUCAAGACAUUGAAAUGAUAAUGGGAACAACCACAUGAUAAUGAGCAACAACUAUAUUAAUCAGGGUUCUCCAGAGAAGCAGAACCAAUAGGAGAUUAUAUAUAUAAUUGGCAUACUUGAUUAUAGAAGCCGAGAAAUCCCACAGCCUGCCAUCUUCAAGCUGGAGAUCCAGAAAAGCCAGUGGUGUAGUUCCAGUCCAAGCCUGAGGGCUUGACAACCAGGAGCACUGAUGUCCAAGGGCAGAAGAUAAGAUGGAUGUCCAGAUUCCAGAAGAGAGAGUGAAUUGACCCUUCCUCUGUCUUUUUGUUCUGUUUAAUCAUGCAACAGUUUGGAUGAUGCCCACCACAUUGGUGAGGGCUAUCUUCUUUACUCAGUCAACUGAUUCAAAUCUCUUCCUACUAUGUCCUUUUUCUCUUCCAGGAGAAAAAACUUCAUAGCCACACCUAGAAAUAAUGUUCUACCAGUUACCUGGGCAUACUUAGCCUAAUCAAGUUGACUUCUAAAAUUAACCAUCCAUAACAACCAAACAGUACAGUAUUUUAACCCAAAUAAUAAAAUAAAUAUACCUGGAUCUAUGCUGACAUACAUAUGUAAGUAUAUGAUUAAGUAAAUAAAUAAAUGGGUAAAAGAUAAAUCUUCCUUACUAAAGAAUUCCAAAUAAUACAUGUAGACAGUUUCCCCUCCAGAGAUGGAACUUAAAGCUUCACCCCUUGAGUAUGGGCUGAAUUUAGUGUCUUGCUUCCAAACAAUAGAUUAUGUAAAGGGAAAAAAUAGUAACUUUACAGCAGAGACACCUGGCACACACUACCUGAACAAAGCGAUCAAGGUUAGCAUCAACACUGAUAAGUCAUGUUGGUAGUAUGUAUUCCUGACAUGAUGUGAUAAGGAGAGAACUCUACCUUUACCUCUGUGGUCUUCCUCUUAAAAGUCUGUAACCCUACAACUAGUCAUGAGAAAAAAAAAAACAUCAUCAGACAAACCCAAAUUUAGGGACAUUAUACAAAACAUCUGACCAGCACUAUUCAAAAAUAUCCAGGUCAUCAAAAACAAAUAAAGACUGAGAAACUGUCACAGACUAGAGGGG
rnacentral:lncRNA from 1 species